UACAGAGGGUGCGAACGUUGCUCGGAAUUACUGGGCGUAAAGCGCGUGUAGGCGGUCUGUUAAGUUGGUAGUGAAAUCCCAUGGCUCAACCAUGGAAGUGCUGCCAAAACUGGCAGGCUGGAGUGCCGGAGAGGGUGGCGGAAUUCCCAGUGUAGAGGUGAAAUUCGUAGAUAUUGGGAGGAACACCGGUGGCGAAGGCGGCAUCCUGGACCAACACUGACGCUGAGUGAGCGAAAGCCAGGGGAGCAAACGGG
rnacentral:rRNA from 1 species